CUGUGCACAGUGUUAGUCCAACACCAAUUCGUGUUAUAUUAAAAUGUUACCUAAUAGAUUGACUAUUGGAACAAUUGGAUUCUGCAAUUUGCUAUAUUGAUUUAAAUUUGAAGCAUUCAUGCUAUUCUAUUACCUCCUUAUGAAUCUCUUUUGUCUGCCUCCAAAAAGAAGGCAGUACAGCUUGGGUGAAUGCUGUUUUUAAAAAAACACUGUUCUUUGCUCAUAGAUUUUUCUAUGAAUAAACUCAUCAACUGGGAUUAGAAGGGCUGUAUCAUGAUUCAGUGGGAAUUUGCCUAGUUUUCGUUUGUCAUCCCAGUCUCUUACCUAGUAAUUCUGUCUAUAUUUUGAACAUAAUUCUGAACAAUGAAAUCAACAGUUCAUAUUGUUUUUCAUCCCUUCCCUUUUCCUCUGUUUAGAACUUUGCGGCAUUGAAAAGUAUUUCAUUCCUCUAAUAGUCUGGAAGUAUAGAUAAGUCCUUGUUGGUGAUCAUAAUGAUUAAAAGAAGAAUAUGAUGUUUGAGAAAAGAAAAUGAAAGUGGAUUGGUGAUGAGGGUAUAGGGAAGCCAUCAAAGAGCUAAGAUUGCUACUGUGGAGAAAACUCAAAUCAGAGGAUGAUAUGAAAGUUGAGGGAGUUUUUGGGGAAGUCUCAGAAGUUUGGUAGUGUCAGAUGAACAUUGAAAAUGACAGUUUCUGCAUAUGGGAACUAAAUAUUGAAGCUUUAUGGUUUACACACAAGAUCUUUAGAAAUUAGAAACUCCAGGGCCUUCAUUUGUCCACUUAAGUAAAAGAACUAGAUAAAACAGGCAAUCCCAAAAGGACAAAUAUCAUAUAUUCUCUCUGACAUAAAGAAACCUCCAUGCCAAAUACAAACCAAAUAGAUACAUAGGACCAAGGAAACGAAUACCAGAAACAAAGAGCACAAAGUAUUUUCUUCAU